CACGUAGGGUGCGAGCGUUGUCCGGAAUUAUUGGGCGUAAAGAGCUCGUAGGCGGUGUGUCGCGUCGGCCGUGAAAACCUGCAGCUUAACUGUGGGCGUGCGGUCGAUACGGGCGUCACUGGAGUUCGGCAGGGGAGACUGGAAUUCCUGGUGUAGCGGUGAAAUGCGCAGAUAUCAGGAGGAACACCGGUGGCGAAGGCGGGUCUCUGGGCCGAUACUGACGCUGAGGAGCGAAAGCGUGGGGAGCGAACAGG
rnacentral:rRNA from 1 species